ensembl:processed_transcript
GGCCUGACGUGGCGGGCGCUUCGUGGCGGUCGGUCACUCGGCAGCGGCGGUCCCGCGAAUCCCGCCCGCCCGCCCGCCCGGGAGCCCUGAGGAGACGGGCGGCACCCUCGUCGUCCCCUCGGCCCAGCCCGGGAGACCGACUCGCCGCGGGCCCUUCAGGGGUUCCCGCAGAGCUCGCGGGGAGCUCGGAGGAACGGCGCAGCCCGGAGCGGCGGGCGGGCGAGCGCAGCCUGUGGCUGCGGCGCCGUGAUGUGCGCUUCUCCGAGCCCGCAGUUGGCCUCGGUGCGAUGGACGGGAGUGGCCCCUAGCUCCGCGGUGCGGCUAGCUAAGGCAGCGUUUUUCGGGGUGCAUCAGAACCUUCCAGAAAUAAAACCAAGGGGUCGCCUGGAAUUUUAAUAAAAACGCAUAAAUGGGACAGGUCGGUCUGAAAGAGAUGCGGUGCGUUUGUCUUUUCGGAUCGUGGAGGACAGAGAAAUCCUCAAAUUUAGCAUCCAGCAACCUGCGCUGCUCCGACCGACCCCAUGACCAGGCCUGCCGAGGGGGAGUAGUCGUUCUCAUCCGCCAGCCAGCCAGCCUCGGGGCGCUUUGCCCUGAGGCUCUCCUCUUCCUCCCAACAGUGGAGAUAAGGAUGUUUCUCUUUUAUUUUAUUCUUGAAGCCACAUCACCUCGUCCUUGGGGGCUCUUCCUUAGGUAAAAAACAGCAACAAAUCUGGCAUUGAGUUAUGGGCCCAUGGCAAAGCUUAAUUAUAAUCACUGCAAGAGAAAAGCCAACUCUGUUUUUUAAAUAUAAACAUGUACAGAGAGGAUAAAUAUGAUUUUUUUUAAAAAGGAGUAAAUGCUAAAAGUUACUAAUUUCUUGACUGUUAACUGGGUGGGAAAGAAAUUAAUUUUCCCAGAAAUGUAGGUUUGUCAAAAGAAUACUUUGUUUCUUCAGAACAAAUUCCUUCCUAGAAGAAAGUAACAAUUUACAGCAAACAAAAAGAUCCCAUCCCAAAUUAAAAUUUGGAAGAAUUUCACCUUAUUUUUUAUAAUAAUCCUGACGAUAACUUUAAAAAAUAAAAAACAAACUUAAACCAGUCUCUGGCGAUGCCGCAAAUAACAAAAGAUGAAGUUCAAAACACUUCAGAGUCUUGACAGCUUUGAGCUACAAUACCCAUGUGUUGUGUGUGUUGUUCCCCGUUUCUCUAGACAAAGCCCUGUGAAUGUGGUCCCCUUCCCCUUAGCUUUGACAUCCUGAUACAAGCUCUACUGGACAUUGAAUGCUUGAUCAAUUCAUUUACUCUUCAUGAGUGUUGGCGGUGACACAGAUUAUUUUAAUGGUUGAAGAAAAUUGAAGUCUUGAAGAAAUUGAGUAGUUCAUUUAAGUUCUCUUAUUUAUUUUGAGUACAGUGCAGGUUCUUAGCUUCUUGGUAUAUUUUACUGCUCUAUGGUCCAGGUGAGACGUUAUAGACCACCACACAGAUAUAAGGCCAAAUUACAAUUUUUUAUUAAGCCAGCAACCAAGAGCCUGCCCCCAAAGACUCUUGGCUCAGGCAUUUCUAAAGAGAAACCACAAUGGCAUCGUCAGGGUCAGGGGAACUUGUUUGCAUUUGUUUUGACUAUACAACCAGCAAAUAUUUUGGUUAUGUAUCUGAGCCAUGGAAAGUCCCAAAUGUGCUGCCAAGGCGGAUGUGAAUGUUGUGGGGGUGGGGGGAGGGGGGAGGAGCUGGGACAGUGCUCAAGCAGACACAAAAUGGAGCCAGAGUAAGAUCAGGACAAAAUGGUGUUACUUUAAUCAUUUCACUCCUCGUUACUUUUAGUGUUUCUUUUAGUUACUUUUCAAAUGCUUGAUGUCUCUGUUUGGAUUCCUUAGUUUCCAAUGCAUGCCCACUGGCUUCUAGCUUUGUAACCAGAGCAGAGCCGAAGAGCUGGUCCUUGAAGUCUCUGGAAGGCAAGGCUGGUCUGCAUAGACCUUUACGGUCCGGGCCUCUUCCUUCUCAGGAAGUCUUCUUUACCUGGAUUUGGUGGAUCCAGGGGGUGACACCUCCCACUUAGUAUUUAGAUAACUGUCUAUUAGUCUAUCCAUAGCGGACUAGCCCAGUGGCAGAGUCUCUGUCUUACAUCAUCUGAACUCUUGGGAACCAGGUGUAAUGGCUAUGCCUUUAAUCCCGGUACCCGGAAGUUGGAGCCAACCUGGUGUACAAAGUCUACAGAUCAAGUUCCAGGACUGCCAGGGCGACACAGAGAAACCCUGUCUCAAUAAAAACAAGGAGAGGGGUGUUCUCUUUUUACAGAAUUAGCUAACUACCACUCAGCCAUGGAAUUAGCUUUUCCUCCUCAGAGGGGGAGAAUGGGUAGCUAUCGGGAUGGCAGGUCCCAUACCAGUGGGGAUGGCAGGUCCCAUAAGUACGAGGUUGAUCCUGUUCGCACAACUCAAAUGUUUGACAAAUUCCCCUUUGAGAAAUUGCUAUUUGUCUCUGUGUUGUCUGAGACCUUAUCAUACAUGGCCUGCCCUAAGGGCUCAGGGAGCACUUUAGGAGGAGGGCCGGGUAUUAACUAGGUUCUGGCUCUUUGGGAAACCAUAAAUGGGAACUGCGCAAUGGGGUAAGGAGGGUUGAGAUCAGACUCUGAGUGUCAGAGAGUCUGGGAGAAGUAGAGAAGAAGGCUGGGAAAGAGGGGCCAAGUGGGGAGAGUGAAUGGCAUAGAGCUUGGGGUGAAAGGAGAGAAGCAGAAGGGGGGUCUCUAGACAAAAUGAAACACAGAUGGAAUCAGCACAACUCACAGAACAGCUAACAAGGGCAGUGGGUUUCUCCCUUAAAGGUGAGGUGCACACGCCAAGUUGACUUCUAAUCACUAAUUCAAAGAACCUAGAGAAUAGACCAGCUCUCUUUGGUUCAGCCCUGAGACAGAACCAAAGGAGACAGAGACAGUAAUAACAAAAAUGCCACUCUCUGGGCAGAAUCUAUCCAGUCACUCACACAACAAUUCAGCCAGCCAGCCAUUAGAAACCCAGGUCUCCCAAACACUCACUGAAUCCCAGGUCCUCUCUUGGUGUCCCAAUAUAGUGUAAGAGGACAAGGGAAUGCCCAAACCUAAGAGCUCCUCAGGAGGAGGCCUGGCCCUCUUAGACCCUAAGGCUCCCCAGGAGCCCUGACCUUCAGAACUGAGUUCCUAGAACCAGAUGAACUCAAUCGGUCCCGGUGUCUGGGAACACAGCAGCUAUUCCAGACCUUUCUGUGCUCAGCAGCAGGCACACGACCCUGGAAUGACUUCAAGAGGUACAGGUAUAGACUGAGUUCCGUGUGCAUACGAUAAUAUCACUGGGACUUCUAUAUGUUACAGUCCAGAUGAGUAAGUUAAACAGUGACCAAGAAUAGGAUCUUGCCCCAAAGAAACUCUUGGCACCAAAGCUUAAAGCUCAAGCUACAACAUCUCUAAGGAUAAAAGCACAAUAACAUCAUUAUCAGGUAUAGGGGAACCUAGUCACAUUUGUUUUGACUAUACAACUGAUGGUUUGUAUAUUCUUGGGCCAGGGAGUGGCACCAUUUGGAGGUGUGGCCUUGUUGGAAUAGGUGUGACCUGGUUGGAGUAGGUGUGUCACUGUGGGUGUGUGCUUAAGAUCCUCACCCUAGUUGCCUGGAAGUCAGUCUUCCACUAGCAGCCUUUGGAUGAAGACAUAGAUCUCUCAGCUCUGCCUGCGUCAUGCCUGCCUGGAUACUGCCAUGCGCCCACCUUGAUGGUAAUGGACCAAACCUCUGAACCUGUAAGCCAGCCCCAAUUAAAUGUUGUUUUU